GGGGAUUUAGCUCAGUGGUAGAGCACUUGCUUAGCAAGCACAAGGCCCUGGGUUCGGUCCUCAGCUCCG
rnacentral:tRNA from 1 species